rnacentral:rRNA from 1 species
CCUACGGGAGGCAGCAGUGGGGAAUCUUGGACAAUGGGGGCAACCCUGAUCCAGCAAUGCCGCGUGUGGGAUGAAGGCCUUCGGGUUGUAAACCACUUUUGGCGGGGGCGAAAUAUCGAGUGCUAAUACCACUCGGUGAUGACGGUACCCGCAGAAUAAGCACCGGCUAACUACGUGCCAGCAGCCGCGGUAAUACGUAGGGUGCGAGCGUUAAUCGGAAUUACUGGGCGUAAAGCGUGCGCAGGCGGUUGGGUAAGACAGAUGUGAAAUUCCCGGGCUCAACCUGGGAACUGCAUUUGUGACUGCCUGACUAGAGUGCGGCAGAGGGGAGUGGAAUUCCGCGUGUAGCAGUGAAAUGCGUAGAUAUGCGGAGGAACACCGAUGGCGAAGGCAACUCCCUGGGCCUGCACUGACGCUCAUGCACGAAAGCGUGGGGAGC